rnacentral:lncRNA from 1 species
AUGGCAGCACAAUUUAACUUACCAGAAAAUACAGAUGACUGGACAAAAGAGGAUGUAAAUCAGUGGUUAGAAAGUCAUAAAAUUGAACAAAAACACAGAGCAAUUUUGACUGCACAAGAUGUGAAUGGUGCAAACUUGAAGUACUUAACUAAAGAUGACCUUGUUGCUAUGGGCAUAACAUUUGGACCAGCUAUCCAAAUAGAACAUCUCUUCAAAGAGUUGCUGGAGACAUCCUCUGGAGAUCCUUUCCAGACACGUAAGAGUGGAAAAGGCAGUAAAAGUGUUCCUAAAACACAGGAGAAAGAUGGAGGGACUUCAAAACAAAAGAAUAAAAAGAAAUCAGAUAUAGUUAAUGACUCUACAGUGAGUACAGUUACUAAAGGUUCUAAGUCACUGAAAAAUGAGUUCAUGGAAGAUGAAAUAGAUGACACAAAGAAAAAGCAGCCAUCCACAGAACCGACAUGCAUGGCAUACCCUUUCGAUGAAUUCAGUGAUCCAUAUCGUUACAAACUGAAUUUUAAACUACAGCCUGAAACAGGACCACUCAAUCUCAUUGACCCAAUACAUGAAUUCAAAGCCUUCACAAACACAGAAACAGCCACGGAAGAGGAUGCUAAAAUGAAAUUUAGCAAUGAGGUUUUCCGAUUUGCUUCUGCUUGUAUGAACUCACGUACCAAUGGCACCAUUCAUUUUGGAGUCAAGGACAAACCUCACGGAACAAUUGUUGGUGUGGAAUUUACCACCAUCACCAAGGAAGCCCUCAUUGACCACUUCAAUCUGAUGAUCCACCAAUAUUUUGAAGACCACCAGGUCCAAAAAGCAAAGAACUGCAUUCGAGAGCCAAGAUUUGUAGAAGUUUUACUGCCAAAUAGUUCUCUAUCUGACAGAUUUGUUAUUGAAGUGGAUGUUGUUCCAAAAUAUUCUGAAUGUGAAGUUGAUUAUUUCCAGAUUAAAAUGCAAAAUUAUAGCAACACAAUAUGGAAACCAAGUUCAAAAUUCUCAGUCUUUGUGCGAGAUGGGGCCAGUUCUAAGGACAUCAUGAAAAGUAAUGCAGAUUUCAAAGCAUUUAAAUUAGAUUUGAAAAGACUGGCAGAAUCUAGGAAAGAGGCAGAAGAGAAAUGCAGAGUGAAAACAAAUAAAAAAGGGAGCGAGGGGCCAAAGCUUGUUAAAUUGUUGACAGGAAAUCAGGAUUUGUUAGAUAAUUCAUACUACGACUGGUACAUUCUUGUAAUAAACAAAUGCCACCCUACACAAAUCAAACACUUAGAUUUCCUAAAGGAAAUUAAAUGGUUUGCUGUGUUGGAGUUUGAUCCUGAAUCUGUGAGCAAGGGUGUGGUCAAAGCAUUCAAAGAAACCCGAGUAGUAAAUCUUCACGUCCCAAGUUUGUAUAUGGAGGGGAAAACCACAAAUGAGAAGAUUACUAGUCUGAAUCUUUAUCAACAACUCAGCUGGAUUUUCUGCAAUGGCCGGUUAGAUCUUGACAGUGAAAAGUAUAAACCUGUAGAUGCAAGUUCCUGGCAAAGAGAAAAAGCAUCUGAAGUCAGGAAACUGAUUUCAUUUCUUACCCAAGAAGACAUAAUGCCAAGAGGGAGGUUUUUGGUGGUAUUUCUAUUACUCUCCUCUGUUGAUGACCCAAGAGACCCACUCAUUGAGACCUUCUGUGCUUUCUACCAAGAUCUCAAAGGAAUGGAAAAUAUAUUGUGCAUUUGUGUAGAUUCACGCAUAUGUCAGGGAUGGAAAGAUCUACUUGAAGCAAGAUUAACAACACAGCAAGAUGAAUUAUCAAACCAAUGUGUUUCUUCUUUAAGUCUUGAAGAAAUAAAUGGAACUAUUCUUAAGCUAAAAUCUGUGACUCAAUCUUCCAAGAGAUUUUUACCAUCUAUUGGUUCAUCUACUGUCCUUCUGAAAAAAGAAGAAGACAUCAUGACUGCUCUGGAAAUUCUCUGUGAAAAUGAAUGUGAAGAUACAAUCUUAGAGAAGGACAAAAAAAAAUUACUUGAAUUCAAAGCAUUAAAAGAGGAAGAUUUUUAUCGAGGAGGCAAAGUAACAUGGUGGAAUUUCUACUUUUCUUCUGAAAACUAUUCUUCCCCUUUUGUGAAAAGGGAUAAAUAUGAGAAACUUGAAGAAAUGAUUCAAAGAGGGGCAGAUUCUUCUAAGCCGACAUGUGUCAAAAUUAUUCAUCUGUAUCAUCAUCCAGGCUGUGGUGGGACCACGUUGGCUAUGCAUAUUCUCUGGGAACUAAGGAAGAAAUUCAGAUGUGCUGUGCUGAAAAACAAGACAGUGGAUUUUUCUGAAAUUGGAGAACAAGUGACUAAUUUAAUAACCUAUGGGACAACAAAUAAUCAGGAAUACUUACCUAUAUUACUGCUUGUUGAUGAUUUUGAAGAACAGGAUAAUGUCUAUCUUCUGCAAGCUUCUAUUCAAACAGCUGUAGCUAAUAGGUAUAUUCGAUAUGAGAAACCUCUAGUGAUCAUCCUAAAUUGCAGGAGAUCACAGAAUCCUGAAAAAAGUGCAAAGAUCUCAGAUAGUAUUGCCCUAAUACAACAACUGUCUCCCAAGGAACAGAGAGCUUUUGAGCUUAAAUUGAAAGAAAUUGAAGACCAACAUAAAAACUUUCAAGAUUUUUAUUCCUUCAUGAUUAUGAAAACCAACUUUAAUAAAAAGUACAUCGAAGAUGUGGUCAGGAAUAUCCUGAAAGAACAAAAUAUUUCCACCAAGGAAGCAAAGCUUUUUUCCUUUCUGGCCCUUCUUAACUCAUAUGUGCCAGAUACCACCAUUUCACUAUCACAGUGUGAAAAGUUCCUAGGAAUCACAAACAAGAGAGCUUUCUGGGGAACAGAAAAAUUUGAAGACAAAAUGGGCACCUACUCUACAAUUCUAAUAAAAACAGAGGUGGUAGAAUGUGGGAACUACUGUGGAGUACGCAUUAUUCACCCUUUGAUUGCCAUUCGUUCCCUGGAAGAACUGAAGAUAAGCUAUGACUUGGAUAAGAGUCAAAUUAUGCUGAACAUGCUAACAGAAAAUUUGUUCUAUGAUACUGGAAUAGGAAGAAGCAAGUUUUUAGAAGAUGUGCAAACACUGCUGCUCACAAGACAGCGCAAUGAAAAUGAAGGUGAAACAGGAACUUGGUUUUCCCCGUUCAUUGAAGCAUUACAUAAAGAAGAAGGGAAUGAGGCAGUUCAAAAUGUAUUACUUGAAGGUACUCGUCGGUUCAACCCAAAUGCAUUCAUUUGCCAAGCGUUGGCAAGACAUUUCUACAUUAAAGAGAAGGACUUUCACAGUGCUCUACAUUGGGCAAAUCAAGCAAAAGAGAUAGAACCUGGCAAUUCUUAUAUCUCAGAUACACUGGGUCAAGUCUUCAAAAGUAAAAUAAGAUGGUGGAUAGAAGAUAAUGAAAGAAACAGGAGCAUUUCUGUUGAUGAGCUAUCUGGCCUUUUGGAUUUAGCAGUAUGUGCCUCAAAUGCAUUCAAGGAAUCUCAACAGCAAAGUGAGGAUAGGGAGUAUGAAGUUAAGGAAAAGUUUUAUCAGAAGUCAAAAAGGCGGUAUGAUACUUACAAUAUAGCUGGCUAUCAAGGGGAGAUAGAAGUUGGGCUCUACACAAUCCAGAUUCUCCAGUUCAUUCCUUUUUUUGACAGUAAAAAUGAACUGUCUAAAAGAGAUAUGAUCAAUUUUAUAUCAGGAAGUACAGAUAUUCCUGGAGAUCCAAACAAUGAAUUUAAAUUAGUCCUCAAGAACUUUAUUUCUUACCUAACCAAUCUGAAAUUUUCUUUGAAAAAGUCCUUUGAUUUUUUUGAUGAAUACUUUGUCCUUCUAAAACCUAGGAACAAUAUUAAGCAAAAUGAAGAGGCCAAAACUCGGAGAAAGGUGGCUGGGUAUUUUAAGAAGUAUGCAGAUAUAUUUGGCCCCUCAGAGGAAUUACAGUACAAAGAUUUUUGUCCAAAGCUUAGUGUGCCACUUCAGGUAGAACUGUAUAGGAGAAACCUGGAAGUUUUAAAAGCAGACAAGUUCUCUGGACUCUUGGAAUAUCUUAUCAAAGUUCAAGAAGAUGCUAUACACACCAUGGAAGAUAUAAUGAACAAAUAUACUUUUCUCUUUGAACAAUGCACUGUCAGAAUCCCACCAAAGGAAAAGCAAAAUUUCAUCCUGGCCAACAUCAUUCUCUACUGUAUUAAACCGACCUCCAAAAUAGUGAAGCCAAUUAAAAAACUGAAAGAUCAGCUUCGAGAAAUCUUACAACAAGUAGGAAUGUCAUAUCAGUAUCCAGAACCUUAUUUCCUAGCUUCCCUCUUAUUCUGGCCAGAAAACCGACAACUGGAUCAAGAUUCUAGACUAAUGGAAAAGUAUGCUCGGUCACUGGAAAAUUCUUUCGGGGACAAUAUAAGCAUAUGUAUCGUACAAAGCAACCGAUCGCCUAUUUCUUUCUUGGGAAAGGUAACAAUAUGA